UAAAAAUACAUUAUUUUUCAGUCUUCCCAAUAUUUUCAAAGUUACACAUUAUAGUACAAUUUCUUAAACACAUCUUAAAACAAUGAUGAUUGUGGCUCCUGAUUUGUGGGGGAGUGGAUGGAGGAAAAAGGCAUCAUCCAUAUUUGUUCCAACAGCCCUGAUGACUGUUAACACUCUUGGCAGUGAGAAGGGGGGUCCAGUCCAUCCUCCAUUCUGCUCUUAGCUACAGUGGAAGUCAGGCAGUCCUGGCUGCCUUGGGUUCCAAAGUAACUGUCAACUGAAAGUGUGGAAAACUGUGCUACGUAACAGCCAAGUUACAAGAAGAAAUGUAGUAGAAACAAUAAAAAAAGCCUUAUCACCUGGCAAGCCAUGGCUGGAUACCUCCGUCAAGAGACUCUGCAAAACUUCGAGAUCUUUCUUAUGUUCUAAGAAUUCAGAAGUUGAUUCCUACAAAGCAUUUAGAUAUUUAAUCAACACAAGAUGUUAGUUGAUCUUCAAAUGGCAUUCCAUCAAGAGGACCAGAGGAAUCUUCUCCUGCUGCACACACCAAAUAUUACAUUUUUUACAAGACCCUCCACCAACAAAAAAAUUACAACUUGCUGAAAGUUCAGAUGAUGGUUGGCAUUUUUUUAGCAGUAAAGCAUUUUUUUCAUUAAGGUACGUAUGUUGUUUUUUAGACAUAAUGCUAUUGCAUACUUAAUAGACUACAGUAUAGUGUAAACAUAACUUCUAUAUGAACUGGGAAACAAAAAAUGUGUGUGACUCGCUUUAUUGCGAUGUUUGCUUUAUUGCAGUGGUCUGGAACCAAACAUGAUGUAUGCCUGUAUAAGUAAUCUUGAUCAUCAUUUUAAGGUAUUGGCAUUUCCUACCAAAAUAAUGGCCUUUAUGUCACAGCAUUCCCUCUGCCCCCACCACGUAGACUGUCCUUGGACAAGUAAUCAAGUGGGAAGUGAAAACUUAAGUCAGAUGUGUUCUUGUGCUUGUGGAAAAGAGAGAGAAACAAAACAAAGAAACAAAAAACCCGGAACUGAAAAUGCACAUCCAAAGGAGGGAGGAAACCCCUAGGAGGCUGUAUCAAUGUGGGGAUGCUGACCUGGCCCAGGACACCUGCCUGAUGCCUAAUGCAGGGAUGGGUAAACUGUCCAGCCCCAGAAAGAAGCAGUGCCCAACCACUGCUUCACCUCCCCACGCGUCUCCUCCCUCCUUCAUCUGACACUUUCAUCCCUUGCUUCCAUCCCCCUUCUCUCUGCCUGGGUCUUAACCUGCCACAUUUCACCCCACGGUAUGAUUUAGCUCUCUUCUAGCCAGAAGUCUCGAGUCUCAGGCAAUACCUCAUGUUAAGCUCACUCAGUAGGGUUUUCCUUGUUAACAACACAGCACUGAUUUUUGACUGUAACUAACAGAUGCAAAUGAAUUCUGAAGGGCCGUUGUUUAACUGACAAUGCAGUGUUUACUGUCUAGCUCUGGCAGCAACAAGCUACUGCUGCCCACAUGCCAAAAGGAAUCACAGAAUAGAUUUAUGAAAUGAAACUUUCAAACUCAAAAUUAUUGGUCAUGUGGAAUUAAGAAUAAAAUAUUUCAAAAAUUAUCUUCCCUUACUUUAGGAUUUUAAAAUACACUUAAAUGUAAGAAAUAGACUAGAGAUCCUCUCUGCCACUGUGGGUAUGGCUUGAGACCUGCACAAUUAGGUAAUUCCCACAUUAAGCCUGCAUUUUUAUAAGAGCAG